CUGGCUCAGGAUGAACGCUAGCUACAGGCUUAACACAUGCAAGUCGAGGGGCAGCAUGGAGUUUGCUUGCAAACUCUGAUGGCGACCGGCGAAUGGGUGAGUAACGCGUAUCCAACCUGCCCUGUGCCCGGGAAUAGCCCUUGGAAACGAGGAUUAACGCCCGAUGGCGUGCGAUGACCGCAUGGGAUUUGCACUAAAUGGAAAGGCACGGGAUGGGGAUGCGUUCCAUUAGGUGUUGGCGGGUAACGGCCCACCAAGCCUUCGAUGGAUAGGGGUUCUGAGAGGAAGGUCCCCCACAUUGGAACUGAGACACGGUCCAAACUCCUACGGGAGGCAGCAGUGAGGAAUAUUGGUCAAUGGGCGGAAGCCUGAACCAGCCAAGUAGCGUGAGGGAUGACGGCCCUACGGGUUGUAAACCUCUUUUAUGCGGGGAUAAAGUGCUCCACGUGUGGAGUUUUGCAGGUACCGCAUGAAUAAGGACCGGCUAAUUCCGUGCCAGCCGCUGC
rnacentral:rRNA from 1 species